rnacentral:misc_RNA from 1 species
GCAGCAACUAAAAGCAAUUGGAAGACUGUAUUGACCUUGCUAAUAAGAAGAGGUUCCACCUUCUCUCGAUGAGUUCCAUCAAGAUUGACAAAAUUGGACCAAUCUUUCCACUUCCACCCCAGGCUAGAAGCUCUUCUAUAAAUCACACCACCAACAAGACCCACAUCUCUCAACACAACCAGGCCCACCAGUCCAGGGUGUAAAAGGC